CCGGCUGUGCUCAGGAAAGGAUUUCUUCCUGGAAAACCAAAAUCCUGGACCCUCCUCCCAUGGAGCAGAGCAGGAAGGAAGAGCAGAGGAGGAAGCUGCUUUGAACACUGUGUGCCCAGUGUGUGCAAGGGAACAUGGCUGAGACAGGAAUGUGGCCAUAGGAAAACAAGGAAUGUAGGAGAAUGGGAAAAGGUGACAUGCAGGGGCAUAUCACAAGCUCCAGGAGCUGGAACGUUCAAAAGAAAUAUAUCACAAGACCCGCAGUGGAACCAAGAACUGGAUAACUACUGUUCUGGAGAGUCCAGCUUUCCUGCUUGCAGUGAGAAUGCUCUUCCACUGACUGC